AGCGUAGACGGUGUGGCAAGUCUGAUGUGAAAGGCAUGGGCUCAACCUGUGGACUGCAUUGGAAACUGUCAUACUUGAGUGCCGGAGGGGUAAGCGGAAUUCCUAGUGUAGCGGUGAAAUGCGUAGAUAUUAGGAGGAACACCAGUGGCGAAGGCGGCUUACCGGACGGUAACUGACGUUGAGGCUCGAAAGCGUGGGAGCAAACA
rnacentral:rRNA from 1 species